GAUGAACGCUGGCGGCGUGCCUAAUACAUGCAAGUCGAGCGAACGGACGAGAAGCUUGCUCCCCUGCUGUUAGCGGCGGACGGGCGAGUAACACGUGCAUCACCUCCCUCUAUUUCUGGGAGAACUUCGUAAAACCGCAGCCACUACCGCCUCAUAUUUUGUACCGCAUGGUUCAAAGGUGCAUCACGGCCUUCCCGUCUCUUCUAGCUGAUUCCGCGCUGCCUUAGCUAGUUGGUAAGGUAACGGCUUACCAAGGCGACGAUGCGUAGCCGAUCUGAGAGGGUGAUCGGCCACACUGGAACUGAGACACGGUCCAGACUCCUACGGGAGGCAGCAGUAGGGAAUCUUCCGCAAUGGGCGAAAGCCUGACGGAGCAACGCCGCGUGAGUGAUGAAGGUCUUCGGAUCGUAAAACUCUGUUAUUGGGGAAGAACAGAGGUGUAAGUAAAUGUGGACGUCUUGACGGUACCUAAUGAGAAAGCCACGGCUAACUACGUG
rnacentral:rRNA from 1 species